rnacentral:lncRNA from 1 species
CAGGGUUUCACCGUGUUGGCCAGGCUGGUCUCGAACUCCUGACCUCAAGUGAUCCACCUGCCUCAGCUUCCCAAAGUGAUAGGAUUACAGGUGUAAGCCACUGCACCUGGCCGUCAAAGGUAGUUUUAGCCCAGUGUGGGGAUCCCAAGACUGCCCAUAAAGACACGUGGACCAGUGCAUACUGAGUGGUGGUAAGGGCUGAUGGGCCAGGUGGGAGCAAAGGCUCGGGAAGGCAGCACUUCCCUGAGGAAGCUUCCUGAAACAAUGGAGCUGCUAGGGCUUGGGCCAUUGGUGCUUUCUUUCUCCUUCAGCAGGAUGGCUGGUUACCCUCUCUUGGAUGAGUGAUGGUCCACCAGAGAGUGUGUGCACGGCUAGCGGGUGUCAGUACCCUAUGCCCUGGUAUCCUGUGUCAGUCAUAACUGACUCCAAAGCUUCCUCCACAGUCUAGGGCUGUUCUCCUCUGCAGUAAGAUGCAGAGGAGAAAGGCUGUUUACCUUUCAGCUCCAGAAAACUCACCAUCCCUCCACACAGGGAACACUCCCCUCUCACCCCCUCUAUCAUGGAGAUAUUAAGGAGCUGGAGGGAAAGGAAUAGGAGACUUCCCUUUCUCCAGCAGUUGGACACAGGAAGUUGCUGACACAGGUCUGGUGACCUGACAUGCUGCUAUUUCUAUAGAUAUCUAUGCAGUGUCCAAGUUGUAGUUGCUCAAUAAAUCAUGGGUCAAACGUCCACUUGCCACAAGCAGCUAAUCUAUUAGACCUUUCUCUCAAUUAUUUAUCUGCUCUGACACAUAUGAAAGGAUGACAUCUUCUGUGUAACACCCUCCUGUGGGUGCAUCAGGAUUAUGCACCUCAGCAUAGAUAAGGUGGGUUAUGUGCUGUUCCUCCCACCAACCAGCUUAGUGACUUAUAUUCUGAGCUCUUAAUAAGUGUUUGUUAAAUAAAUGAGUAAUUGUAACUCUGCUCUUUUCUAGGUUAUAAAGCAUAUCAGAACGUGAAUGAGCACGGCAAUAUGCUGAUAAUCUUAAACUGUUAGCUUUGGCAUGCAAACUCUUAAUAAUAAGGAAUUAUCUACAAUAGUUUACAAUGUGUGGGUACAGGAUAAGGAUAAUCCUAUUCAAGAUUACUGCCAUUGUUGGUUUGUCAUAUAACAUAUGGUCUUUUUUCAAACUCAAAAGCAUACAAUAUUCUAAAAACAAAGAUGGGUCCUCAAGUCAGUUGGUCUCCUAACCAUUCCUACAUUGGAGUGGACUCUUAGUAAAUAGGCCACAGGUCCCGGAUCUGUUGAGAUAAGUGGUGAAAUAUUGAGGCAGUGGUAGCAGCCCUCCCUCAUCCCAGCCAGGCUCUGCAUGCAUCCUGAUCAGAUGCCCCAUCCAGAGACUUGGGCGAGUCUUCGACCACAGGAAAUUAGGCCAAUAUAGAGGAGUUUCUUAUCAGCAUGAUGGCCUUCUCCAUCUGCUGCUGGAGAAUGAGGCCCAGCCACCACCUGCCUCUGCCCCAGGGGAUGACGGAGCAGCAGGACUCUUCCAAGUGUCAAUGGAGAACACAGGAUCCAGGUGGAUCCACAGAAGGCAACAAGGGGCACGCCCCACCAUCUGCUUACUUGGACUUGAGAUGCUGAAUGGUGCCCAUACAUCGAAAGGCGCCCUUUACCAUGAUGGCCAGCCGGGUACACAGUGCCUCACAUUCUUCCAUGCUGUGGGGCAGGAGAGAGGAGGGUGGCCCAGCCUGCUCAGCAUCUGUUGGGUGUAGCCGCCUGGGAAAUGGACUUCAGCCUUACAAAGAGCAAGACAGUGGGUCUCGCCCAGCGUCCUGGACCAUGGCUAGCAGUGGAGGAGGAAGGCUCUGUUUGAGAAGAUGGUGAGUCCCAGACCUGUUGAUCCCACCCGUCAAGAGGGUUACACCCAAAGCCUUGUGCAUCCGACACAUACCUAUGGAGCACUGACCAUACGCCAGGCACUGAACCAGGCACUGGAGAACAAUGUGAACACAGCCAUUGCUGCUAUCCUCAGACUGCGGGGAGGUGGCAGUCAAAAUAAACAGAAUACUGGCAGAUCGUGACAGUGCUGUGAGGGAACGAUGACAGAGACACCAGGUGUGUGUGCACAUGCGCAGGAGGGGAUCUAGGGAAGCCACUGGAGACAAGCUCACCAUGCUUCUGCCUUCUAUACUAGUCCCCCGUGCCUGGAAUGUUCCUCCCUAGGUGUGCACGUGGCUCCUUCUCUCACCUCUAGUUCUUCAUUCAGGUUCUCUCCUCUGCAGGCUCUCCCUGGGCCACCCUACCUCAAAAUGCAAACCCUGCCCCAGCAGUUCCUCCCUGCGUUACUUUUCCCUGAGGACUUUUCACUCUCUAAUGUACUGGAUAUUUUACCUAUUUAUCUACAGAUCGUCUAUCCCUCCCACUAGAAUGUAAUCUCCAUUUUUAACUUUUUAUUUGGAAAUAGUUUCAAACUCACACAAACAUAUAGGAAUAAAAAUAGUUCAUAGAAUUAUUAACUAAUAAAACCCUUCUCUCUCUCACACACAAUUUUUUGUGACCCAUUUGAGGGUAAAUUACUCAUCACAGCCCUUCACUCCUAAAUACUUCAGGGCAUAUUUCCUAAGAAUAGAGAUCUUCUCUUACAUAACCACAGUACAUUAUCAAUGUCAGUAAACUUAAUGUUAUGAUACAUUUACCUAAUCUACUGUUCAUAGUUCAGUUUUGUCAGUUGGUCCAAUAAUAUCCUUCUAUCAUUUUUUUUCUCUUCUGCACAAGAUGUAGUCUAUUGUCUGCUAUUCAGUCAUUAUGCCUGUUUAGCCUCCUGCGAUCAGAGAUAUUUCCAUAGCUCUUUCUUUGUCUUUUAUGACUCUUAUGUUUUUGAAGAAUACAGUCUCCUUUUUUUUUUUUUAAGGAAUAUUCCUUCUUUGGAGCUUGUCAGAUGUUUCCUCAUGAUAAGAUUCAGGUUACAUAUCUCCAAUCUGGAUUCUACAUAAGUGAAAUUGUGUCCUUCACAGGGUAUCACAUCUCGGGGCAUGAGAUGUCCAUCUGCCCCUUAUGGUUAAUUUUGAUCACCCAGUUAAGGUGCUGUCUAAUUUCUCCAUUGUAAAAUUAUUAUGUUUCUCCCAUGUAACCAAUAAGCAAUCUGUACAGAGUUACUUUUAUUUCUUUAAAAUUAUAUUAUUAUUAUUUUAAGAGACAGAGUCUUGCUCUGUUUCCCAGGCUGGAGAGCAGUGGCUUGAUCACAGCUCACUGCAGCCUCAACCUCCUGGGCUCAAGCAUUCCUCCCACCUCAGCCACCUGAGUAGCUGGGACUAUAGGCGUGCACCACCAGGCCCAGCUAAUUUGUUUGCUAAUUUUUUGUAGAGACAGGGUCUCCCUAUGUUGCACAGGCUAAUCUGGAACUCCUGGGCUCAAGCGAUCUUCCUACCUUGGCCUCCCAAAGUGCUGCGAUUACAGGUGUGAGCCACCAUGCCCAGCCCCUUAUUUUUUUUUUAAAAGCACUUCCUUACUUUCUGGCAUAAGAUAUUCCAGGUUCAUUUUAUACCUAUGCCAUUCCAGCCCUGGAACUUAUCAUUUAUUGGAGGAAUCAGGGUUACUUUUAGUGGGGAAUGUUAUUAAGACAAAAGCCUGAGUGCUAAGUGUGCUCAUGGCUACUGGGGUGUUUUUGCUUCUUGAGCCUUUCGGAAGACAGAUACACACAUGCAAAUAUAUGUCUAUAUAUACAUGCCUAUGUGCAUGAAACAUGAACACAUCUGCAUGCACCCACAAACACAAGCAUAUAAAUAUUCCUGAAUUCCCAGUGCUACCUCCGGUUCCUAUCCAUGACCUCACAGUUCUUUCUUGCUUUUCCCUUUUCCAUAUUUGUAAGUCCCUUCUUCCACGGUGAGAAUUCUGGGUCCCAAUAACAUCAAAACAUUUAUUAAUUUAUUUAAUCCUGUAACACAUCUAAAAUUUUCAGAAUCACUUUGCCUAUACCACUAUAAAAAACAAACUAAAAAGAACUCAGAAAUUAUUUGUAGUUCUUCUCCCCCGCUCCACCCUGCCCAAGAAUGAGGAUAUAGAGUCAAACACUGUGUUCAGCAGUUGUUUGUGUUAGCUCUAUCCCCCUUUUGCAAGAUUAUGAUAUUUAUUUGAAAUAAAAUUGGGUUACUUUAUUUAGUUUGCUGUCAGUGUUAGGUUUUCUUUUUGUUUUCAUUUUUGCCUACUUCCCAUUCUUACUGAUUUUUUUUGAAUAUGUGGAACAUUAACAUGCUUCCAAAAAUUAAAACUAUACAAAAAUAUAUCCCCAGAAGUACUGUUUCCUCCCAUUUUUCUUUCUUCCCAUUUUCUUCUUGUUGAUCACCAAAUUCAUUGUUUUCUGGUUUAUCCUUUCUACGUUCUAUUUGCAAAGGUAAGCAGACAUACGUUUACUUUCUUGUUUUUCCUUCUUUCUUACAUACAAAGUAGCGUUCUCUAUGUUCUGUUUUCCACUUUGCUUUUUAUCAUUUAACAGUAUUUACUGGAAAUAUCUCCAUAUCAGUUUACUGAGACUUUUCUUCUUCUUUUUUAUAGUUGCGUAAGACUUUAUUGUGUGUCUGUACCAUAAAUUAUUCAGCCAAUCUACAAUGACUAAACAUUUAGGUAACUUCCAGCAUUUUGCAAUUACAAAUGCAAUGGAUCACCUUAUACAUAUUCAUUUUGCACUGUGGGAGAUGCAUCUUCAGGAUAAACUCUUAGACGUGUGAUUGCUGAGUCAGAGGAUAAAUGCAUACAACAUUUUGUUAGAUAUGAGAGUGGGGAUUUUUUUUUGUCUGUCUUGUUCACUGCUAUACUCCUGGUUUCUAGAACAGUACUUGGCACACAGUAGACACAUAGUAAACAUUUGUUGGAAUGAAUGAAUGAAUAGCACGCUUCAGUUUCUCAUCUCCAAGAGAAUGCACUCUCAUGAAACAGGCUUGUAAUUAACCAGACUCCUAUGUGGCCA